GCUCCAAAUGGAACGGUCAAAAGUCCCUCUUUUUAUUGUAUUCUCCUUCUGCAGGCUGAUUUAUGGUGUGUGUUCUCCCUCGUGCUUUGACAGGAUGCUCUGGCAGUGCUGGCUGAGGUGGCUUAUGUGGACAUGCUGGAGGGAGACACGGAAUGUCACGUCCGCUUCAAGACUCCCGAGGAUGCCCAGACUGUCCUGAGAUCCCACAAAGAGAUCCAGCUCAAAAACAACUGCAAAUUCGAAGUUCUCACUGGUGACAAUGAACAACGUUACUGGCAGAAGAUUUUAGUGGACAGACAAGCUAAACUUAACCAACCUCGAGAAAAGAAGAGGGGGACUGAGAAGGUAAUUGCCAAGGCUGGGAGG